AAACAAUGAAGGCACUGUUCAGUUUGUUUGCUAUAAUAUUUAUCUAUAUCAGGAGCACGAAUGCUUGUAAUGGUUACACUAUAUCAAAUUACCAGAUAAGUCCCUGCAUGGAAAAUGGCAUAAUUAAACCAAUUAAUAUGAGCGUGGUUUUGGAUAAUGACUGCAAUUUGAUAUUUACAGGAUGUUUGAACGUAGAUAAAGCUUUGAAUAUGGCGGUGACAAAAUACACCUUCAAUAAACCACCUAUGCCGUCUCUGAAAGGGACCAUGGACUUUUGUGAAAUUAUGAAAGAACUUCAAUAUCCUCAAGUGAAGCAAGGUUUGCGAUCGUUAGGUCUACCAAACAGAUGCCCUCUUUCG